rnacentral:rRNA from 1 species
CCACACCUAAAAAACUUUCCACGUGAACCGUUAUAACUAUGUUCUGUGCUUCGUCUUCUUGUAAGAUUUGAGGCUGAACGAAGGUGAGUCUGCGUCUAUUUUGGAUGCGGAUUUGCUGAUGUUAUUUUAAACACCUAUUACUUAAUACUGAACUAUACUCCGAAUACGAAAGUUUUUGGUUUUAACAAUUAACAACUUUCAGCAGUGGAUGUCUAGGCUCGCACAUCGAUGAAGAACGCUGCGAACUGCGAUACGUAAUGCGAAUUGCAGAAUUCAGUGAGUCAUCGAAAUUUUGAACGCAUAUUGCACUUUCGGGUUAUGCCUGGAAGUAUGCCUGUAUCAGUGUCCGUACAUCAAACUUGUCUUUCUUUUUUUGUGUAGUCAAAAUUAGAGAUGGCAGAAUGUGAGGUGUCUCGCGUUGUCUUUUUUAAGAUGGUUCGAGUCCCUUUAAAUGUACGUUGAUUCUUUCUUGUGUCUGCGAAUUGCGACGCUAUGCUCUUUGUGAUCGGUUUAGAUUGCUUUGCGCUGGUGGGCGACUUCGGUUAGGACAUAUGGAAGCAACCUCAAUUGGCGGUAUGUUCGGCUUUGCCUGACGUUAAGCUAAGCGAGUGUGGUUUUCUGUCUUUUCCUUGAGGUGUACCUAUUGUGUGUGAGGUUGAUGUAGACUAUAUGGUUGCUUGGUUGUGUGGUUUAGCGUUUUCAGACGCCUGCUUCGGUAGGUAAAGGAGACAACACCAAUUUGGGACUGAGAGUUAUUUUGUUUCUCUCUUUUUCACUUUGGACCUGAUAUCAGGUAAGACUACCCGCUGAACUUAAG